rnacentral:tRNA from 1 species
UAGAUUGAAGCCAGUUGCCUAGGGUGUUUAGCUGUUAACUAAGAGUUUGCAGGAUAGAAGCCUGCCAAUCUAG